UACAGAGGGUGCAAGCGUUGUUCGGAAUUAUUGGGCGUAAAGCGCGUGUAGGCGGCUUUGCAAGUCGGGUGUGAAUCCCUCAGCUCAACUGAGGAAGUGCGCCCGAAACUGCUUAGCUUGAGUGCCGGAGAGGAUGGCGGAAUUCCCCAAGUAGAGGUGAAAUUCGUAGAUAUGGGAGGAACACCGGUGGCGAAGGCGGCCAUCUGGGCGGUAACUGACGCUGAGACGCGAAAGCGUGGGUAGCAAACAGG
rnacentral:rRNA from 1 species